rnacentral:misc_RNA from 1 species
GAGCCUUGACGAGCUUCCACCUCGGCAGCACCUCCCUGUUAAGAGAAGGAGAGUACUCUCUCAGAACUAUCUCCAGAAAAUGGCUUCUAUAGGUUUGCGAGAGAAGAGUUCAUUUUCUGUUGGCCUCUCCCGUGGAAUAAGCACUCAGAAGCAUCAAAUAGUUAAAGAUGUAUCUGCAGCCAAGUUGAAGAUGCGGAAAUAUACUAAUUCGAGUGUUACUCCAAUAAAGGAGAAACAUUCUUAUCUUAUGGACUUCGAA